rnacentral:lncRNA from 1 species
GAUGAGUUCCAGCUUUGAUAGAAUGGGACCAGGUAUAGGAGCUAUACUGGAAAGGAGCAUCGAUAUGGAUCGAGGAUUUUUAUCGGGUCCAAUGGGAAGCGGAAUGAGAGAGAGAAUAGGCUCCAAAGGCAACCAGAUAUUUGUCAGAAAUGUAAGCAAAUAAAUAUUAAGGAUAAUUCAAAUUCUUUUUUUUCUUGUAUAUAUGUUACUAAUACCUCUUUUCAUUCUAGCUACCUUUUGACUUGACUUGGCAGAAACUAAAAGAGAAAUUCAGUCAGUGUGGUCAUGUAAUGUUUGCAGAAAUAAAAAUGGAGAAUGGAAAGUCAAAAGGCUGUGGAACAGUCAGAUUUGACUCCCCAGAAUCAGCUGAAAAAGCCUGCAGAAUAAUGAAUGGCAUAAAAAUCAGUGGCAGAGAAAUUGAUGUUCGCUUGGAUCGUAAUGCAUAAUUUCAAGCCAUGGUUGGAACAUUCCUACAUCUGUUUUGCUGAAUCUCCUAGUAAAAGUCAUUUUUUUAAAGUAAUAUUGUAUGCUUACAAAAGCUGUAAAAAUGAACUUUUAAAACUCCCACCAGCUUUUAACAGUAUAAUGUUAAAAAUAUACUGUAAUUUUUGUUAAUCUCAAGUUUGGGUUUUUAAAGACAGCAAGUCUGGUCAUUCAGUUUAAAUGAAUGGUUAUACUGUUUUUAAUG